rnacentral:rRNA from 1 species
GAUGAACGCUGGCGGCAUGCCUAAUACAUGCAAGUCGAACGCUGACAGAGGAGCUUGCUCUUCUGGCUGAGUUGCGAACGGGUGAGUAACGCGUAGGUAACCUGCCUUGUAGCGUGGUAUAACUAUUGGUAACGAUAGCUACUACCGCAUGACAACCGUUAUUGCAUGAUAACUGUUUAAAAUUGGCACCUUCUCCACUACCAUAUGGACCUGCGUUGUAUUAACUAGUUGGUGAGGUAACGGCUCAACAAGGCGACGAUACAUCGCCGACCUGAGGGGGUGAUCGGCCACACUGGGAAUGGGACAAGGCUCAGGACUCUACGGGAGGGAGCAGGAGGGAAUCUUCGGACAUGGACGGAAGUCUGAACGAGCCACGCCGGGUGAGGGAAGAAGGGUUUCGGAGCGGAAAGCUCUGUUGUAAGAGAAGAAAGAGUGUGAGGGUGGAAAGUUGACGCUGUGACGGUAGCUUAACAGAAAGAGACGGCUAACUACGUG